UACUAGAGUAGCACUUGCAUAUCAAUAAGCGGAGGAAAAGAAACUAACAAGGAUUCCCCUAGUAACGGCGAGUGAAGCGGGAAGAGCUCAAAUUUGAAAUCUUAAAGGGUUUCCCUUUACGAAUUGUAGUUUAAAGAAGUGUUUUCUGUUGAGGUUUUGGUAAAAGUUCUUUGGAAUAGGACAUCAUAGAGGGUGAGAAUCCCGUAUUUGACCUUUACUUUCAACUUUGUGAUACACUUUCAAAGAGUCGGAUUGUUUGGGAAUGCAGUCCAAAAUGGGUGGUAAAUUUCAUCUAAAGCUAAAUAUUGGCGAGAGACCGAUAGCGAACAAGUACCGUGAGGGAAAGAUGAAAAGAACUUUGAAAAGAGAGUUAAACAGUACGUGAAAUUGUCAAAAGGGAAGCGUUUGACACCAGUGUUGUUUUUCUGAAAAUCAAUUAAAGAACUGUUUAUGCUAAGCUGUUUAGACUUUAUCAGCUAAUCUGUUUAGUUUUGAGCUUUUCUUUAAUGCACUUUUCAGUUAACAAGUCAACAUCAAUUUCUUUUGCUGUAAAAAAGCUUGAGGAAGGUGGCUUGAGAUUCGUCUUAAGUGUUUAUAGCCUCUUGCCUAUGCAGUCGGAGAGAUUGAGGUCUGCAGCGUAGAUCCUUCGGGGCUAAAUGCAUUUGUGCUAAGUUAUAGCAUUUUAUAGACAACUUGUUGACUAUGAUUUGUCUUGUAGCUUACUCGCUUAUGUUAUUUUACCUACGCUUAGGAUGUUGAGCGCAUGUCUCUCUCU
rnacentral:rRNA from 1 species